rnacentral:misc_RNA from 1 species
CAAAAACAUGAGUACCCAAGAGAUCAGCACCUGUUGUAAUAGAUAAAAACUCCUCUAGUAUUCACACACUUUCCUAAAAGAAAGUCAUAGUGACGGAAUCAUUCAUUUCCCAUUUCACUUAUUCGUUCCUCACACCAACUGCGAUUUUUUACAUCAUGUAAUUACUGGACAAGAUAAAUCGAAGAGGUAUGUUUGAAGAGAAUGAUUUGCACAGAUACUUGGUGUCAGCGGAAAAUGCAGUUCAGUCACCAAAUCAAUGAAAUUUAGUUUCUAUCAUGGUUCAAAUAGUGCCCAUUCAAAUUUACCAGCCCCAAAAAAAUUGCUUUAAGGCAGUAAGAGCUAAAAUAACAAGCAUAUUACAAGAAAACUAAUAGAAAGG